CACGGGUUUAUCAUAGUUGCUGAGAUCCUACUUAAGAAUUAAUACUGCAGAUUUACGGAAGAGAAACUUGAUCUCAUGUUUAGAAGUAGAGUUGAGGAGCCAAAUGCCUCAGUGAUCCAUCCUCUAAGACUAUUUACGAGCCCACACCAGCCGAAGGAGGAAGCCUAUGGAAGACAGUGUGCUACAGAAUCUCGGGGCUUGGGGACCGAGGACCAGUGGGCGGGAGCUCAUGAUGGCGUUGGAGAUUACCUGGCUUUGGUUUGAAUCCUAGCUCUCUAACUGGUGAAUCUGCGACUCGAGAUAUCACUACAUCCAAUCGAAGGCAGAAAGCUUAUGGGUGUGAGCAUGCCAAGACAAACAAAAUCAUCCCUCCCUGCUUCUUCUGAAGGAGAAAAAUGAAACUCUUCUGAACUUCGCUGGUCACCAAGAAGAAUCACUUUAUCUCAAAGAGAUUUUUAAAAAUCAUUAUGUUAAAUAGGUUAAGUAAAGGAGCAAAACUUCAAUUUCUGUAAACUUCAUUUUUCCAUGUUAUUAAUAAUUUCUGAAGUUAUUGUGCACCUUAAAACCAGAAGGUCCUUUAGCAACUCUUGUUUCUGAUUAGGCUCAGCCCAGGAUUUGCUAGCUAGCACUUUUUAAAAAGAAAUUGCUACCAGAGAAGAAAUGUUCUCAAAUCCAAUUUCCACAAGAGCCAGGUAAGUGAACAGGAAGACACUAUAAUCUCCAUUUAAAGGGUGUCUGUCAUCAGAAGUACCCACUGUAACAGAUGGAAGCCCUGACUGAAUUGGCUUCAGAAUCAUGUGAGAUGCCGCUGGUCUUAGGGAAAGAGUUCAAGAUUUGGAGUCUGGAAAUUUGGAUUUAAUUUCCGGCUUUGCCACUUACCAGCGACAUGACCUUGAAAGGGGGAAGCAGGAGCGCUGUGGACAGAAUUGUAUCCCCACCCCCACCCCAAAUUCAUAUAUUGAAGCCCUAACCCCAAUGUGAUGAUAUUUGGAGAUGGGACCUUUGGGAGAUAAUUAGAUUUAGAUAAAUUGCAGGACAUUUGGUCUUGUCCAAAAUGUCCAUA
rnacentral:lncRNA from 1 species